rnacentral:misc_RNA from 1 species
UGAGAGCGUUUAAUGCCCACGUCAGCUCACUCUUCAAUCCACUUUGAAGUGCCAGAACAAUCCUUUUAUUAUUCUGAUCAGCAAAUGCAUAGUGAACAUGAAGCGAAGGUCCGAGAAGCGUUGGCGGAGCUACUGAGUCGGCAGCACUGGAUGCGACUGCCGCGGUAGCAGAGGCAGCGGCGGAGUUACUGUUUACGCUACCUAACGGACGUCCUCUCUUAGCUACCGGAGUAGCUGAGCCACCGCCAGCUACGCCACCGCUUUGCCGCUUCUGCAUCUUUUUCCCG